rnacentral:rRNA from 1 species
GACGAGCGCUGGCGGCGUGCUUAACACAUGCAAGUCGAACGGAAAGGCCCUGCUUUUGUGGGGUGCUCGAUUGGCGAACGGGUGAGUAACACGUGAGUAACCUGCCCUUGACUUUGGGAUAACUUCAGGAAACUGGGGCUAAUACCGGAUAUGAUCUCCUGCUGCAUGGUGGGGGUUGGAAAGUUUCGGCGGUUGGGGAUGGACUCGCGGCUUAUCAGCUUGUUGGUGGGGUAGUGGCUUACCAAGGCUUUGACGGGUAGCCGGCCUGAGAGGGUGACCGGCCACAUUGGGACUGAGAUACGGACCAGACUCCUACGGGAGGCAGCAGUGGGGAAUAUUGCACAAUGGGCGGAAGCCUGAUGCAGCAACGCCGCGUGCGGGAUGACGGCCUUCGGGUUGUAAACCGCUUUCGCCUGUGACGAAGCGUGAGUGACGGUAAUGGGUAAAGAAGCACCGGCUAACUACGUG